UCAUAUAACAAUUCAUAAUUUAAUAAGUCCAAAUAAAUAUUAUAAUUAUAAUUUUAAAUUAAUUUAUUUUGUACCUAUUGAUAUGGGGGAAAUCAACCUAUAUACAUUGAUAUGAUCAACAUCGAUUAAAUUUUGCACAGGAAUAAAACUAAAAAUUUAUUGUUCCAAUUCACUACUGAAAGGGGUAAGAUAAUGAAAUUGAGUACCUUUAUCCAAGCACAUUAUCAAUCGAGCUAGAGACGUGGGUUUAGGGUUUCAAAUUGAAGUUGGUACUCAAACACAUCAUGGCGUAUUUGCCCACCCAAAAAUAGCCAUGAUUAGAUGACUUGCUUGAUUAGCCCAAUAGAGCUCAAGCAUUACCUUUUCAAGCAAACCCAUAAAGUGAACUUUUUCGUCAACAAGAAC
rnacentral:lncRNA from 1 species